rnacentral:rRNA from 1 species
GAAAAGAAACCAACAGGGAUUGCCCUAGUAACGGCGAGUGAAGCGGCAACAGCUCAAAUUUGAAAUCUGGCCCCCCCACGGGGGUCCGAGUUGUAAUUUGCAGAGGGUGCUUUGGCGUUGGCUGUGGUCUAAGUUCCUUGGAACAGGACGUCGCAGAGGGUGAGAAUCCCGUAUGUGGCCGCCAGUCUUCGCCGUGUAAAGCCCCUUCGACGAGUCGAGUUGUUUGGGAAUGCAGCUCUAAAUGGGAGGUAAAUUUCUUCUAAAGCUAAAUAUCUGCCAGAGACCGAUAGCGCACAAGUAGAGUGAUCGAAAGAUGAAAAGCACUUUGGAAAGAGAGUCAAAAAGCACGUGAAAUUGUUGAAAGGGAAGCGCUUGCAGUUAGACGUGCCUCUAGUUGCUCAGCCGGGCCUUCGGGCCCGGUGCACUCUUCUAUUGGCAGGCCAGCAUCAGUCUGGGCGGUCGGAUAAAGGCCCAUUAAACGUGACUCCCUCCGGGGAGAGCUUAUAGGGUGGGCGACAUGCGAUCAGCCCGGACUGAGGUCCGCGCAUCUGCUAGGAUGCUGGCUUAAUAACUGUAAGCGGCCCGUCUUGAAACACGGACCAAGGAGUCUAACAUCUAUGCGAGUGUUUGGGUGUCAAGCCCGGACGCGUAAUGAAAGUGAACGGAGGUGGGAUCCCUUCGGGGUGCACCAUCGACCGAUCCUGAUGUCUUCGGAUGGAUUUGAGUAAGAGCAUAGCUGUUGGGACCCGAAAGAUGGUGAACUAUGCCUGAAUAGGGUGAAGCCAGAGGAAACUCUGGUGGAGGCUCGCAGCGGUUCUGACGUGCAAAUCGAUCGUCAAAUUUGGGCAUAGGGGCGAAAGACUAAU